UACAGAGGUCCCGAGCGUUGUUCGGAUUCACUGGGCGUAAAGGGUGCGCAGGUGGGCUGGUAAGUUCGAUGUGAAAGCCCCGGGCUUAACCCGGGAACGGCAUUGGAUACUACUGGUCUGGAGGAUUGGAGGGGGGACUGGAAUUCUUGGUGGUAGCAGUGAAAUGCGUAGAUAUCAAGAGGAACACCAGUGGCGAAGGCGAGUCCCUGGACAAUACCUGACACUGAGGCACGAAAGCCGGGGG
rnacentral:rRNA from 1 species